AUUGAACGCUGGCGGCAUGCUUUACACAUGCAAGUCGAACGGUAACAGGCCGCAAGGUGCUGACGAGUGGCGAACGGGUGAGUAAUGCAUCGGAACGUGCCCAGUCGUGGGGGAUAACGCAGCGAAAGCUGUGCUAAUACCGCAUACGAUCUGUGGAUGAAAGCGGGGGACCGAAAGGCCUCGCGCGAUUGGAGCGGCCGAUGUCAGAUUAGGUAGUUGGUGGGGUAAAGGCUCACCAAGCCAACGAUCUGUAGCUGGUCUGAGAGGACGACCAGCCACACUGGGACGGAGACACGGCCAAGACUCCUACGGGAGGCAGCAGUGGGGAAUUUUGGACAAUGGGCGCAAGCCUGAUCCAGCAACGCCGCGUGCAGGAAGAAGGCCUUCGGGUUGUAAACUGCUUUUGUACGGAGCGAAAAGGCUCUCUCUAAUACAGGGGGCUCAUGACGGUACCGUAAGAAUAAGCACCGGCUAACUACGUGCCAGCCGCCGCCGUAAAAC
rnacentral:rRNA from 1 species